rnacentral:rRNA from 1 species
AACGAACGCUGGCGGCAGGCCUAACACAUGCAAGUCGAGCGCACUUAUGACCUUCGGGUUAUAGGCGAGCGGCGGACGGGUUAGUAACGCGUGGGAACGUACCCUUUACUACGGAAUAGCCUUUGGAAACGAAGAGUAAUACCGUAUACGCCCUUUGGGGGAAAGAUUUAUCGGUAAAGGAUCGGCCCGCGUUAGAUUAGAUAGUUGGUGGGGUAAUGGCCUACCAAGUCUACGAUCUAUAGCUGGUUUGAGAGGAUGAUCAGCAACACUGGGACUGAGACACGGCCCAGACUCCUNACGGGAGGCAGCAGUGGGGAAUCUUAGACAAUGGGCGAAAGCCUGAUCUAGCCAUGCCGCGUGAGUGAAGAAGGCCUUAGGGUCGUAAAACUCUUUCGCCAGAGAUAUAAUGACAGUAUCGUGGUAAAGAAACCCCGCUAACU